AUGGGCUCCUGGCUCUUCUGCUGGGUGCUGCUGUGUCUCUUGAGGGCAGGCCCAGUGGACUCUGGAGUCACCCAGACCCCAACACACCUGAUCAAGUCACGAGGCCAGCGGGCCACCCUGAGCUGCUCCUACAUCUCUGGGCACCAGUCAGUGUACUGGUACCAGCACGCCCAGGGCCAGGGCCCAAAAUUCCUCAUCCAGUACUUCAACAGUGAGGAGAGAGAAAAGGGUGACAUCCCAGGCCGGUUCUCGGUCCAGCAGUUCAGUAACGACAGCUCCGAGAUGAUCCUGAGUGCCCUGGAGCCCGGGGACUCAGCCGUGUUCCUGUGCGCCAGCAGCAUUGACAAUGAGCAGCACUUCGGCCCCGGCACUAGGCUCACGGUCACAGAGAACCUGGACAAGGUGGCCCCACCCAAGGUGGCCCUGUUUGAGCCCUCCGAGGCAGAGAUCGCCCACACCCAGAAGGCCACCCUCGUGUGCCUGGCCACCGGCUUCUACCCCGACCACGUGGAGCUGCGCUGGUUGGUCAAUGGUCAGGAGACCCGCAGCGGGGUCAGCACCGACCCCCAGCCCCUGAAGGAGCAUCCCAGCGAGCCAGCGUCCACUUACUGCCUGAGCAGCCGCCUGCGGGUGUCCGCCACCUUCUGGCACAACCCGCGCAACCUCUUCAGCUGCCAGGUGCGCUUCUACGGGCUCUCUGAUGAGGACGAGUGGCGCCAGACCAGGCCCAAGCCUGUGACCCAGAACAUCAGUGCCGAGGCCUGGGGCCGUGCAGACUGUGGCCUCACCUCAGUGUCCUACCAGCAGGGUGUCCUGUCUGCCACUGUCCUCUACGAGGUCCUGCUGGGGAAGGCUGCCCUGUACGCCGUGCUGGUCAGCGCCCUUGUCCUGGUGGCCAUGGUGAAGAGGAAGGAUUUCUGACCCAGAAAGCAGGACCAGGGUGCAUCGGACACACCCCUGUCACACCCCAGACCCAAGAGCCCACUCUCCACCCUUCCCUUUGUGCAUGGACACCUGCCCGCUCCCUGCUGCCCCCCAAGAUGCAACGCCCAGCCUGGGAUCAAGACCCAAUGAACCAAUAAAAAUGGUGCACAGCUUG